GACGAACGCUGGCGGCGUGCCUAAUACAUGCAAGUAGAACGCUGAAGGAGGAGCUUGCUUCUCUGGAUGAGUUGCGAACGGGUGAGUAACGCGUAGGUAACCUGCCUGGUAGCGGGGGAUAACUAUUGGAAACGAUAGCUAAUACCGCAUAAGAGUAGAUGUUGCAUGACAUUUGCUUAAAAGGUGCAAUUGCAUCACUACCAGAUGGACCUGCGUUGUAUUAGCUAGUUGGUGGGGUAACGGCUCACCAAGGCGACGAUACAUAGCCGACCGGAGAGGGGGGUCAGCCACACUGGGACGGAGACACGGCCCAGACUCCUUCGGGAGGCAGCAGUAGUGAAUCUUCGGCAAUCGGCGGAAGACUGACCGAGCUACGCCGCGUGAGUGUAGAAGGUUUUCGGGUCGUAAAGCUCUGUUGUAAGGGAAGAACGCGUGUGAGAGUGGAAAGUUCACACUGUGACGGUAUCUUACCAGAAAGGGACGGCUAACUACGUG
rnacentral:rRNA from 1 species